rnacentral:rRNA from 1 species
CCUACGGGAGGCUGCAGUGGGGAAUAUUGCACAAUGGGCGAAAGCCUGAUGCAGCAACGCCGCGUGAGCGAUGAAGGCCUUCGGGUCGUAAAGUUCUGUCCUCAAGGAAGAUAAUGACGGUAUUUGAGGAGGAAGCCCCGGCUAACUACGUGCCAGCAGCCGCGGUAAUACGUAGGGGGCUAGCGUUAUCCGGAAUUACUGGGCGAAAAGGGUGCGUAGGUGGGUUGUUAAGUCAGAGGUGAAACGCUACGGCUCAACCGUAGUAAGCCUUUGAAACUGGGUAACUUGAGUGCAGGAGAGGUGAGUGGAAUUCCUAGUGUAGCGGUGAAAUGCGUAGAGAUUAGGAGGAACACCAGUUGCGAAGGCGGCUCUCUAGACUGUAACUGACACUGAUGCACGAAAGCGUGGGGAGCAAACAGGAUUAGAUACCCGGGUAGUC